AGUCUGAUCUGCCCACUGAUAAUAAUUAUUUAAGGGCCGCAGUAUUUUGACUGUGCAAAGGUAGCAUAAUCAUUAGUCUUUUAAUUGAAGGCUUGUAUGAAUGAUUGGACGAGAUAUAAUCUGUCUCAUAAGAAAAUAAAUUAAAAUUUUAUUUUUUAGUUAAAAAGCUAAAAUAAUUUUAAAAGACGAGAAGACCCUAUAGAUCUUUAUAAUUUAUUUAUUAAUUUUUUUAGGUUAUUUUUUAAGUUUAUAAAUAUAAUUAUUUUGUUGGGGUGACAAUGAAAUUUGAUAAACUUUCAUUAAUUUUAUACAUUGAUUUAUGGCUAUUUGAUCCAUUAUUAUUGAUUAAAAAUUUAAGUUACCUUAGGGAUAACAGCGUAAUUAUUUUGGAGAGUUCAUAUCGAUAAAAUAGUUUGCGACCUCGAUGUUGGAUUAAGAUUAAUAUUGGGUGUAGCAGUUCAAUAUAUUAAGUCUGUUCGACUUUUAAUUUCUUACGUGAUCUGAGUCCA
rnacentral:rRNA from 1 species